GCGGCCGUAGUCUAGUGGUAGGACCCCAGCCUUCCAAGCUGGUGACCCGGGUUCGAAUCCCGGCGGCCGCA
rnacentral:tRNA from 2 species